CCUACGGGUGGCAGCAGUGAGGAAUAUUGGUCAAUGGGCGCGAGCCUGAACCAGCCAAGUCGCGUGAAGGAUGACUGCCCUACGGGUUGUAAACUCCUUUUAUAAAGGAAUAAAGUGAGGCCCGUGUGCCUUUUUGGAUGUACUUUAUGAAUACGGCUCGGCUAACUCCGUGCCAGCAGCAGCGGUAAUCCGGAGGAUCCGAGCGUUAUCCGGAUUUAUUGGGUUGAAAGGGUGCGUAGAUGGGUUGUUAAGUCAGGCGUGAAAGUUUGGGGCUCAACCGUACAAGUGCAAUUGAUACUGGCAGGCUUGAGUGCAGUUGAGGUAGGCGGAAUUCGUGGUGUAGCGGUGAAAUGCUUAGAUAUCACGAAGAACUCCGAUUGCGAAGGCAGCUUACUAAACUGCCACUGACAUUGAUGCUCGAAAGUGUGGGUAUCAAACAGGAUUAGAUACCCGGGUAGUC
rnacentral:rRNA from 1 species